AGCCUCAUCCUACUGCCUUACUAUUGGUCGUCGGCAACCGCUUUGUUAGUUAAUUGGAGAGACUGGAUGUCCAUCAGGGUCACGCUUGCAGGGCAACGAGAGGCAAAACAAGAGGGAAGACGACUUUCCUCCUGUGAGCCAAUGAGGCCAGCUGGACUACGCCGAGACAACUGGGAGAGGCGCGGGACUCGCCCGUUCCGCGGAACGCCGGGAAGGGGUCACCUCCUGAUGAAGUUUCCGGUUCCGGUGUCAGCGGCGGUUGAAUUGCCAUGGCAAUGCGGUGGGCGCGCGCUUGUCGUGUUGGUCUCUUGGGAGGUAGCGGGGCUAGGCCGGGCGGGUAUCCGCCUCUCCCAGCUUAGGUGAGCGUCCCCGGGCGCCUCCGGAGCGCCGCGGCCGCAUGCAGUUCGUCGUGGCGGGGAGCCGGAGCCUGACCGGGGUUCCAGCGCUCGGGCCGUAGCCUUGGCUCCUGGACUUUCCCUGGCUCCGCCGCCACGUGGGAGCUGAGGCUCUGGGGCUUCCGCCUCCGGCGCGCGAUUAUUUCUCUAGAACAGUUUUCAUUUUUAAAAUUUGUAAAGCGCUUUUGCCUGUGUGAUUUCCUCUGGGUUUUUUUUUUUUUUCUUCCUUUUUGUAGAGACGGAAUUGGCGGCGGGGGCGGGGGGUCGAUGUCUCACUUUUUUGCCCAGGCUGGUCUCGAACUCCUGGCUUCAAGGGAUCCUCCUGCCUCGGCCUCUUAAAGUGCUGGGAUUACAGGCGUGAGCCACCGCCCCCGGCCGCCUCUGAGUUUCCAGCCUCGUUGGCCCUCCAGCCUUUUAACCUGUUGGGCCUAGGAUCAGGAAAGGUUUGUUGAAUGGGGAACUAAGAAGUGAAUUCGUUCGUUCGACAAACGUUUCCUGAGCAGCCGCUGGGUGCUAGGCGCAGUGCCAGCGCGGAAUGUCCAGGGAGACCUGGUGCCCAAAGCUUGGACCCAUCGUGAGAAAUGAGAAGCAGAUACAAAGCAGUGUGGGAGUGCAGAGGAGACAAAGCAAGCCUCAUCAGGCCCAUUGCUUGCUCUGCUCUCCCUUGUACUUACCAGUGCUUGACAAUAUACAGUUAUUUACUAGCUUGGUUAUUGACUUCCUACCCAGCACUCAGUUUUAUUCACUGCUGUAUCCUCAGUGCCUAGGACGAUGCUUGGAACGUGGUAAGUGCUCCUAUUGGCGGGAAGAAUAAAUCCGGAAGAGCAGGACCAGUGGACUUGCUACAUAAUCUGUAGUCUUGGAGCCGCACAGGGUUGGUGGUACCCUCGAGCACACCAGACUUGCAGAAAAAGCAUACUCCAGAGGAAGCUGAGGCAUGCCUGCUCGAGAGCCAGCUGUUCCAUGUGCAAUUUUCCUCUGAUAGUUUCUGGUCACUGUUGCCACGGUGAUAAUGACUGGGCUAUGUCAUUAUCUAUCCGCCAACAGUAAGAGAAGCUUUGCAGUCGAGAUAUUGUUUAGCAGAUGGAGUGUUUUCUGUUGAACACUAAGUACUGCCACAAGUUACUUUUUUUUUUUUAAACUUUGAGUAUUUUUUUACAAUGUUGCUGGAGGUGAUCUGUUUAUGCUUUGAGAGUGUUCGAAUUUAAAAUCAGAAAAUCAUGUCAGUGAGUGAGUCUUUCAAAUAAUCCUUCGGCAUGAAACCUGAGCCUAGUAAACUAUGAAAGUAAACUCGGCACAUUACCCGAAAGUCUCAAUGUCAUAUUUUCACCCCCAUCAAUAUUAUUGAUGAUUGCUCAUUUUCUAAUGUGGGACCUGAAAUUUACCAGGUGCUUAAAGAAUCUUUUUGUUUUUCAGAUUCAUUGAUUCCAGGUAAAUCAGAGGAACAAGCAACAUGAACAGAAAUAUGUAGAAAAAGCUAUUAUGCAGAAGCAUAAUUGUUGUUUCAGAAGUCCAGCAUCUGGUGCACUUAACAAUAGAGAAUAUAUUAAACUCUUUCCAAAAUAA